AGUGAACGCUGGCGGCAUGCCUAACACAUGCAAGUCGAACGGCAGCACAGUAAGAGCUAGCUCUUACGGGGGGCGAGACGCGGACGGGUUAGGAAUAAACCGGACCCGAAUUUUUCGAGAGGGAUAACGAAGCGAAACUUAUGCCACUACCGCAUACGACCUACAGGUGAAAGCAGGUGAUCUUCGGACCUUGCGCGAUUGAAUGUGCCGAUGUAGGAUUAGCUAGUUGGCGGGGCAAAGGAACACCAAGGCGACGAUCCGUAGCUGGUAUGAGAGGAUGAUCAGCCACACUGGGACUGAGAAACGGUCCAGACUCCUACGGGAGGCAGCAGUGGGGAAUGUUGGACAAUGGGCGAAAGCCUGAUCCAGCAAUACCGCGUGUGUGAAGAAGGCCUUCGGGUUGUAAAGCCCUUUUGUGGGGAAAGAAAACCUGCAGGUUAAUACCCUCCUGUUAUGACGGUACCGAAAGAAUAAGCACGGGCUAACUUCGUG
rnacentral:rRNA from 1 species